ACGAACGCUGGCGGCGUGCUUAACACCUGCCAGUCGAACGGAAAGGCCCUGCUUUUGUGGGGUGCUCGAGUGGCGAACGGGUGAGUAACACGUGAGUAACCUGCCCUUGACUUUGGGAUAACUUCAUGAAACUGGGGCUAAUACCGGAUAGGAGCUCCUGCUGCAUGGUGGGGGUUGGAAAGUUUCGGCGGUUGGGGAUGGACUCGCGGCUUAUCAGCUUGUUGGUGGGGUAGUGGCUUACCAAGGCUUUGACGGGUAGCCGGCCUGAGAGGGUGACCGGCCACAUUGGGACUGAGAUACGGCCCAGACUCCUACGGGAGGCAGCAGUGGGGAAUAUUGCACAAUGGGCGGAAGCCUGAUGCAGCAACGCCGCGUGCGGGAUGACGGCCUUCGGGUUGUAAACCGCUUUCGCCUGUGACGAAGCGUGAGUGACGGUAAUGGGUAAAGAAGCACCGGCUAACUACGUG
rnacentral:rRNA from 1 species